UGGCAAACCGGAUGGAUCCCGAUCUGAUCCAGUUAGUAAUUUAUGAGAAACCGGAUGGAUCCGGAUCUGAUCCAGUUAGUAAU